GUUCACUGGGUCACAAGAGUCAGACAUGACUGAGCAACUGAACUGAACUGAACUGUGAAGGAGAGCAAAGGGCAAGGGUGGAAUUUGUGGGGCAGAGGGUGACAGCUAAUGAGGUCAGAAAGGUUAAAAUCAGAAAGCAAAAUCACAUACAGCCUUGUAAACCAUGGUAAAGAACUUUGGCAAACAAAAUGAAAAGCCGGUGGAGAAUUUUCAGAAGAGAAGAAAUGUAAUCUGACAAAUUUCAAAAGGGUGACUAUGGCUAGUACAGAACCACAGACUAAGGGGGAGUGAACAAGGGUGGAAUGCAGGAGGCCCAUUAGGAGGUACUGCAACAAUCCAGUCCAAGAAACGACAGCAGCAGAGAGAGGGUAGAUUCUGGAUCCUGAGAUCCAGCGCCGAGGAGCUGCCACUUGCUCACAGGGGAAGCCUACAGGGAAGAUGAGCCUUCGGCCAUUUAUUCCACCUGGAACACGUUGUCUUCAAAGAACUGAAAAGAAGCAAAACCACUGCACACGUGCAAGGCCUCAGGUCCAGCAUAUAUCUGUGAAUAGCUAGGACCCUCUCUAAUCUGCCUGAGUGUGUGUGCAGCCCUGCAUGUAUACACAGCCUCCCAGACCACCAGGGAUAUGCAGAACUAAUGAGGCCAGUCAUUCCUUAAAUCUCCUUUUGGAAGGAGUUUUCUUCUUUCCCAACCAAAAUUACAUCAUUCUACAUAAAACACUGGCCUUCCCAUUCUUUUGCCAUUAAAAAAUAUAUAUAUAUCGCUAUUGUUUCCAAUAAUGUUUCAAAUCAAGUGAGUCCCUUCCAGGGGUGAAAGCAAAGCUACCAGUUUUCAUAGCUCACCCCAUCCUAGCAAAACUACCACGAUAAUAAGCCAGUGGUGGGAAUCAGCAGAACAGGAGAUGCCUCAAGUACUAAAACACCAUUCGCAAUUCUCACUCAAGGCUCAGUAGUUUUUCUUGAAUAAAUGCUUUCUCCAUAUGUUUAUAUAAUUUGAUCACCUUCUCAAGUCCUUCACUGCCUGUUUUUUUGACGAUUUUGUUGACAUUUAUGAUUACUUUUUCAUAAGCAGAUUUGCCAAGCUUCUUAUUCAAGCCAUUCCUGCAUUGAAUACAUUUUAAACGCAAUUUGCCUGAGCAACCUACUAAAAUAUAUCAUAGAAAAUAUUUUUAAACAUUGCUAAGUAUGGAAACUGCCUGUAUGCUAAAAUCACUAUUUUCUUUUGACUGUUAACAUGCCUUUGUUGAAGAGCUUACUCAGGGGGCCUUAAGUAGAAAAAGUCUCUAAGCAGAGUAAAUAGCAUUUGUAAAGACACAGGAAGCCUGCUAGGAAACUGCACCCUUAAGUGUUGGGUGGGUAACUAUUUUUAGCUCUCCUUUCCCUAUUACAGAUUAGCUCAAAUCUCUUACACCCUAAAAAUGCCCUUUUGUGGCCACAUGCAAUGCAAUGUUUUAAAGUCCAGUCUCUUUCCUCUUCUUCUCCAUUGACUUUCUUGAAAAAAUAGUCUGAAAAGUAUUUAAAACAUCCCUUUCUCACCUCGAGUCAUUCCUCAAUCCAGUAUAAGAAGGCUUCUUUUCCAACUUUAUUAAAAUGACCUGCAGAGGUACCCAGUAGCCUCUCAGAUUUACCAAUGAACAAUGGUAAAUGAAUCCAAUGAACAAUCUUUGGUCCUUAUCACACUAAAUCUCCUUGUUCCAUUUGUCAAUACUGCAACAUCAUUUUCUUCUUUUGAAUCUCCACUCCUUGGUCCAUUACUACCUUGUCUUAGUUCUCAUACUGUUCUGACCAUUUCUUCUGCAGAUCUUUUAGCUGGACUUUUUCUCUUCCUGCAUCUACCCUUAAAUGUUAGUGAUCUCUCAAAACUCUACUGUUAACCCCCACCUCCCACAUUUUCUCUCAAAAGAAAUUUCAGCCAAUUAUCAUUGCUUCACACUGAUGACCCUCAAACCUUUAUCUCCAGUUGUUAAAACUUCUCUCACAAUAUAAGACCAUUUCUAAUCACUGAAAAAUAGCUGUACUUCAAUGUUCCACAGUGAGUUCAAAUCCAUCACUAUCUGAAACUGAAUGUAUCAUACCCCACCUCAGACCCACUCUUCCCAGGUAUUCCUAUCUCGUUUGCUGGCAUUAACAUCAUCCAGUCCACCUAACCUAGAAACCUAGAUUUAAUCUAUGAUUAUUUCUCUUCUCUUCUCUUCUUUCUGCUGCCCAUGACAUCCAAUUCAGCUAAAAGCCUUGCUGCUUUUACCACAGGCAUAUUCUCACAUCUCUUCUGCCCUUCCUUCCUUACAUGCUGAGGCAGCCACUUUGACAGACCUGUACCAAACGAACUUUGUCAAAAGGGCAGCAUCAAAAAUGAAGUUGGAGCCCAAGUCAGCUCUCCUGCUAAGACUAGAAAAUGAUGGCCUUCCAAUACUUCGUACAGGACUUUCAGAUCCUAGCAGUGAAUGUCUCCAAACAUUUUGCUGAUUAAUAACAAGCCAAAAUUGGGAUCAUUUAGUUUGCCAUUUACUUCUAAAUGUAUCAGUUUUCUAAUUAUGUUAUUUUCCAUAAGCAAACGGUUCUUCCCUUACACUGCACAUCUACACAACUUUCAAACCUCAUGAGCCCUACCUUUCCAAGACUUGGAUGGCAUGGAGUAAUGUCAGACAAAAUGCACGAAAAACCUAAGAAGCCACAGAUUCCAGGGUAGACAGAAAAGCAAGUGAUGCUGGAUUCUUAGGACUGACUACCUUGCUCUGAGAUAAAGAGAUACCAGCUAUAUCCAUCAACUAAUUCAUGGAACUGUUUUUUUCAACUGACACUAAUCUUACAUAUUCACUGGAAGGACUGAUGCUGAAGCUGAAGUUCCAAUAUUUUGGCCACCUGAUGCAAAGAACUGA